GGUAAGUCCAUCCCUCCUUCAGUGGAGAGACUUCACGAGAUGCUUCAAGAUCCAAACAUGGCCCAAAGUCUGCAAGUCCAGAUCUGCAUCAUGACAGAUAAGUGCAAAGUGAUUGUAGGUCUUCUGGACAUCUUCCAGAGCAGACGUCCAAUCGUUACGAAAGCCAUCGAUUACCUGGAGGAUCUUCAUAUGAAGUUAGAGGCACACAAAGAUCUCAGCUACGACUCAUGCGUGGAAUAUUUUGAGGGAGUUGAUCUGUCCUUUGCAAUCAAGAUGCAGAUUGUAAACAGAGUGGCACAGGCAUACAUCACUGCAGAGGAGAAACUCAGCAAGUACAUGUCUGAUGGACAACCUGCCAUUCACUUCCUCAAAGAGGUCAGGGUCUUCGAUCCUCGUCACAUUUCGUUCAUGAGCGACAGUGUCUCUACCUACAAAUCCAUCCCAGGAUUCAGUGAUGUCCCUGAUGAUGAACUGGAUACCUACUUCAGACGCCUUGGCCCAGCUGCAGUGCAUGCUGCCUCCUGUGGAGUUGUGGAUAUAGAUCUGUUCUGGGAUGGGGAGUAUAGACAGGUGUUCUGAGACUCUUGCUGAUGGGCAGACCAAACGGAAGAAUGAAUGAGGCCAACGCUUGCAACCCCCCCACCAAAGAUGCUGUGCUGCUACCACUGACGGACACGGCAGUCACCAGAUGCUGUGCUGCUACCACUGACGGACACGGCAGUCACCUGGAAGAGGGUCAACGAGAUCGGGUCUUGAAACAGCAGCUUGCUUUAGAUGUCCUGAAAACAUGUCAUCUGAUCUACCAUGGCAGCGAUGGAGAAUCUGGUUUGACUGACCAGUCACAGCAUUUGGAGACAAUAAAUCACAAU